AAGUCUUCUGAAUCCCUCUGCAAUACUCUUUCCAUGCUGCAACAGAGAGGGCACUGCCUUGCCACCAAAGGAUCAAGAAGGUGGCUGACACAGAUAGCAGCAGAGUCUCCUGCACUAGCUUCAAACCAGUGGAGAGUUCUUGUGUGCAGGUGACAUUCUUCACUGGCCUUUUCUGGAUACUUUAAAGCCACUCUGCGCUGUCUACACAACGACAUUAAGAAAUAACUAACAGACUUGCCAUCAGAUCCCUUCGAAGACUUCCCUUCUGUCAUGUUGCCUAAAUGAAGUAAGUUUAUUUUCUUGUUUAAAAAAGAAACGAUUCCCGUUUACUUCAAUGGGCUUUGGAUCAGGCCCAUAGCGAAUGUAACAUCAAAUCAAGC